rnacentral:rRNA from 1 species
AUGAAUGCUGGCGGCGUGCCUAACACAUGCAAGUCGAGCGGUAACAGGUCUAGUUUACUAGAUGCUGACGAGCGGCGGACGGCUGAGUAACGCGUAGGAACGUGCCCCAAAGUGAGGAAUAACUGCCCGAAAGGGUGGCUAAUGCCGCAUAUGAUCUUCGGAUUAAAGGAUUUAUCCGCUUUGGGAGCGGCCUGCGUUAGAUUAGGUAGUUGGUAGGGUAAUGGCCUACCAAGCCGACGAUCUAUAGCUGGUCUGAGAGGAUGAUCAGCCAGACUGGGACUGAGACACGGCCCAGACUCCUACGGGAGGCAGCAGUGAGGAAUCUUCCACAAUGGGCGAAAGCCUGAUGGAGCAACGCCGCGUGAAGGAUGAAGGCCCUAGGGUCGUAAACUUCUUUUAUAAGUGAAGAAUAUGACGGUAACUUAUGAAUAAGCACCGGCUAACUACGU